rnacentral:rRNA from 1 species
AUGCCAAGGAUGCUCACCGCCAAUGUGGAACAGAUACGGGCGAUGGUUGCCAGCGCUGAAGGUCUAGGUGUGCCUCGCGGCUCUGGGAUGUGCAGGCGAGCUCUGCAGUCUGUUGCAUUCGUCAGCGAGGAGAAGAUCGCCACCAAAAUGGAAUACUUGAAGAAGACGUUUAGGUGGUCGGAUGCGGAGGUUGGCAUUGCUGUGUCCAAGGGCCCGUUUGUGCUGAAGAGGUCAGAGGACAUGCUGAAGCGCAGGUCCGAGUUCCUUAUCUCAGAGGUGGGGUUGGAGCCGGCCUACAUUGCUCAUCGGCCUUGUAUGCUCACUUACAGCCUGGAGGGCCGGCUCAGGCCCCGGUACUAUGUUAUGAGGUUUCUCAAGGAAAAUGGAUUGCUAGAUCAUGGCAGACACUACUACAGCAUGGUCUUGUUCAGCGAGAAGGUGUUUGUGGAGAAAUUCAUAUGCCCUCACAAGGAAGCUGCACCACACCUUGCUGAAGACUAUGCAGCUGCUUGCAAAGGGGAAGUGCCGACUAGAUUCAGAUUUACAUGA